rnacentral:misc_RNA from 1 species
UUAUCUAAGGACUGGUUGGUAGGUUUAUCUAAGGACUGGUUGGCAGGUCUAUCUAAGGACUGGUGGGUAGGUUUAUCUAAGGACUGGUGGGUAGAAUUAUCUAAGGUCUGGUGGGUGGGUUUAUCUAAGGACUGGUGGGUAAAUGCAGGUUUAUCUAAGGACUGGUUGGUAGGUUUAUCUAAGGACUGGUGGGUACAUGUAGGUUUUUAUCUAAGGACUGGUAAGUACAUGCAGGUUUAUCUAAGGACUGGUGGGUACAUGCAGGUUUAUAUAAGGACUGGUUGGUAGGUUUAUGGUAUAUAAGGACUGGUGGGUUGGUUUAUCUAAGGACUGGUUGGUAGGUUUAUCUAAGGACUGGUGGUUUGGUUUAUCUAAGGACUGGUGGUUGGGUUUAUCUAAGGACUGGUGGGUACAUGUAGGUUUAUCUAAGGACUGGUGGUUUGGUUUAUCUAAGGACUGGUGGGUAGGUUUAUCUAAGGACUGGUGGGUAGGUUUAUCUAAGGACUGGUUGGUAGGUUUAUCUAAGGACUGGUUGGCAGGUCUAUCUAAGGACUGGUGGGUAGGUUUAUCUAAGGACUGGUGGGUAGAAUUAUCUAAGGACUGGUGGGUGGGUUUAUCUAAGGACUGGUGGGUAAAUGCAGGUUUAUCUAAGGACUGGUGGGUAGGUUUAUCUAAGGACUGGUGGGUACAUGUAGGUUUUUAUCUAAGGACUGGUAAGUACAUGCAGGUUUAUCUAAGGACUGGUGGGUACAUGCAGGUUUAUAUAAGGACUGGUUGGUAGGUUUAUGGUAUAUAAGGACUGGUGGGUUGGUUUAUCUAAGGACUGGUUGGUAGGUUUAUCUAAGGACUGGUGGUUUGGUUUAUCUUAGGACUGGUGGGUACAUGUAGGUUUUUAUCUAAGGACUGGUGGGUACAUGCAGGUUUAUCUAAGGACUGGUGGGUAGGUUUAUCUAAGGACUGGUGGGUAGGUUUAUCUAAGGACUGGUGGGUAGGUUUAUCUAAGGACUGGUGGGUAGGUUUAUCUAAGGACUGGUGGGUAGGUUUAUCUAAGGACUGGUGGGUAGGUUUAUCUAAGGACUGGUGGGCAGGUUUAUCUAAGGACUGGUGGGUAGGUUUAUCUAAGGACUGGUGGGUAGGUUUAUCUAAGGACUGGUGGGUAGGUUUAUCUAAGGACUGGUUGGUAGGUUUAUCUAAGGAUUGGUGGGUACAUGCAGGUUUAUCUAAGGACUGGUUGGUAGGUUUAUCUAAGGACUGGUGGGUACAUGUAGGUUUAUAUAAGGACUGGUGGGUACAUGCAGGUUUAUAUAAGGACUGGUUGGUAGGUUUACGGUAUAUAAGGACUGGUGGGUUGGUUUAUCUAAGGACUGGUUGGUUGGUUUAUCUAAGGACAGGUUGGUUGGUUUAUCUAAGGACUGGUGGUUGGGUUUAUCUAAGGACUGGUGGGUACAUGUAGGUUUAUCUAAGGACUGGUGGGUUGGUUUAUCUAAGGACUGGUGGGGAGGUUUAUCUAAGGACUGGUGGGUAGAAUUAUCUAAGGACUGGUGGGUGGGUUUAUCUUAGAACUUGUUGGCAAGUUUAUCUUAGGGACCGCAUGCACAAUGAAAUUGUAAGAAGAAAUAAUUUAAGAGUUUUUUUUACAAAGGAACCACAUUACUUUGUUCUAAUGAGAAUUUAUUUUUGCUAUUAAACCAAAGUGGAAAACUUAAGGGUUAUUGCUACAUUUUUCUUGGCUCACAUGACAUUGAUUCAAGCAUCUUAAAAGUUAUACAUUGAUUCAAGCAUCUUAAAAGCUAUAAGUCUUUGCUGAAAUUAAAAUUGGGUCUAAAACUUCAAAGACAUUAAGUUUUACAU